GACGAACGCUGGUGGCAGGCCUAACACAUGCAAGUCGAGCGGAUGAAGAGAGCUUGCUCUCUGAUUCAGCGGCGGACGGGUGAGUAAUGCCUAGGAAUCUGCCUGGUAGUGGGGGACAACGUUUCGAAAGGAACGCUAAUACCGCAUACGUCCUACGGGAGAAAGCAGGGGACCUUCGGGCCUUGCGCUAUCAGAUGAGCCCAGGUCGGAUUAGCUAGUAGGUGGGGUAAUGGCUCACCUAGGCGACGAUCCGUAACUGGUCUGAGAGGAUGAUCAGUCACACUGGAACUGAGACACGGUCCAGACUCCUACGGGAGGCAGCAGUGGGGAAUAUUGGACAAUGGGCGAAAGCCUGAUCCAGCCAUGCCGCGUGUGUGAAGAAGGUCUUCGGAUUGUAAAGCACUUUAAGUUGGGAGGAAGGGCAGUAAGUUAAUACCUUGCUGUUUUGACGUUACCAACAGAAUAAGCACCGGCUAACUUCGUGCCAGCCGCCGCCGUAAAAC
rnacentral:rRNA from 1 species